rnacentral:misc_RNA from 1 species
GAAAUACAUAGAUCCGACGUAUAUGAUUCGAGCAAUUCCGAGUAACGCAUCUGACAACGUCUACUGCACGUUGUUGGCCCACAGCGCCAUCCAUGGUGCAAUGGCAGGGUACACGGGUUUCACUGUUGGACCUGUCAAUGGCCGUCACUCUUACAUUCCAUUUCAUAUGAUAACGGAAACACAAAACAAAGUUGUGAUAACUGAUAGGAUGUGGGCA